GACUUUAGAAAUCGUGAGGGUUCAAGUCCCUCUAUCCCCCCAAAAAGACC
rnacentral:tRNA from 1 species